GUGGGGAGGAAGUGGUGGGACCAGGAGCAGAAGGGGAGACAGCGGCAGCCUCAGACCCAGAGGACGGCAAGGAAAGCAAAAUAUGGAUGGCUGCCAGAACAAACGCAGAGCCUUUUGGGAAAGUGUUUCGAGGCCUCAUGAGCAAGUCGGAGAACAAAGAGUUUGUCCUCGGUGUCUCUGUGGUUGGUCCUGCUGCCCAAGAUGACUGGAAAGGCUCUGUUCCUUGUUUUUCCCAGAAACUGAAUACCUGGAGAGUUUUGCCACCUUCAUUCAAAAUCCUGG
rnacentral:lncRNA from 1 species